rnacentral:rRNA from 1 species
UGGGGAAUAUUGCGCAAUGGGGGGAACCCUGACGCAGCAACGCCGCGUGAGUGAAGAAGGUCUUCGGAUCGUAAAACUCUGUCAUCGGGGACGAAGGAAGUGACGGUACCCGAGGAGGAAGCCCCGGCUAACUACGUGCCAGCAGCCGCGGUAAUACGUAGGGGGCGAGCGUUGUCCGGAAUUACUGGGCGUAAAGGGUGCGUAGGCGGUCUAUUAAGUCAGAUGUGAAAUACCAUGGCUUAACUGUGGCAUUGCAUUUGAAACUGGUAGGCUAGAGUGCAGGAGAGGGAAGUGGAAUUCCUAGUGUAGCGGUGAAAUGCGUAGAGAUUAGGAGGAACACCAGUGGCGAAGGCGGCUUCCUGGACUGUAACUGACGCUGAGGCACGAAAGCGUGGGGAGCGAACA